rnacentral:rRNA from 1 species
GGAUGAACGCUAGCGGCAGGCCUAACACAUGCAAGUCGAGGGGUAUAAGAAGCUUGCUUUUUAGAGACCGGCGGAUGGGUGAGUAACGCGUAUGCAACCUACCUUUUACAGGGGAAUAGCCCGGAGAAAUUCGGAUUAAUGCUCCAUGGUUUAUAGAUGUGGCAUCACAUUUAUAAUAAAGAUUUAUCGGUAAAAGAUGGGCAUGCGUAUCAUUAGCUAGUUGGUGUGGUAACGGCAUACCAAGGCGACGAUGAUUAGGGGUCCUGAGAGGGAGAUCCCCCACACUGGUACUGAGACACGGACCAGACUCCUACGGGAGGCAGCAGUGAGGAAUAUUGGUCAAUGGAGGCAACUCUGAACCAGCCAUGCCGCGUGCAGGAUGACGGUCCUAUGGAUUGUAAACUGCUUUUGUACGGGAAGAAAUGUAGUUACGCGUAACUAUUUGACGGUACCGUAAGAAUAAGGAUCGGCUAACUCC